CCACCAACAAAUUAUUGCAAAGGAGAUAGACACCUAAAAGAAAGGAACUACAAGAGGUUUUAUUUAUAAAUAUUUCUCUCUUGGAACCUGCAUGAAUGAAGGCUGAAUCUCAAAAUCAAGACAUGUUGAACUUUGAAUAAUGUCCAGAUUUUGAUUCCAAUCUGUGUCUAAAUCUGAACCACUCAGUUCUUCAUGUUUAUUGGAAUCCUCCUAACACUGGAAUUUCCUGGGAGAUAUCCAGUACUUUCGGGGCUGUAAACAGCAAAACAAACAGCCUUUCUUGUAACAUGUUAUGUCUAGUGCUAAGUGAAUUUGAGAAGUUUAUGGGUGUGGGGAAAUUUACUUAAUAUUUUUUACGAAUUUAUAAAAUUGCUUCAGUUUAAAUUUUGACCAAAAAUUCAUCUCAGGAGUAUAAUUUUUGAGAAUAUUAUCUUUGCUAUUAGUUAUAAAUAUGUUACAUUUUGUCUAAGCAAUAAAACAUUAUUUUAUACAA